rnacentral:lncRNA from 1 species
GUGAAAUGACAGCUGCUGAGAGAGAGAGGAGCGGGAGGAGGAGAAGGGCGCAUUCUUUCUGGAGGGGGAGGUCCAGUCAAAUUGGAGUUUGAGGGAAUCCUGGGAUUUAAAAAGUCCUGGUUCCAGGCUGGCCGCGGUGGCUCGCAUCUGUAAUCCCAGCACUUUGGGAGGCCGAGGCCGGCGGAUCACGAGGUCAGGAGUUCGACACCAGCCUGACCAGCAUGGUGAAACCCUGUCUCUACUAAAAAUACAAAAUUAGCCGGGCGUGGUGGCGCGUGACUGUAAUCCCAGCUACCCAGGAGGCUGAGGCAGGAGAAUCGCUUGAAGAGGCAGAGGUUGCAGUGUGCCAAGUUCGGGCCACUGCACUCCAGCUUGGCAACAGAGCGAGACUCCGUCUCAAAAAAGAAAAAAAAAAAAGUCCCCUUUUCCAGCCUUCUCAACUCCCCUCAGACGGGGCUUCUAGAGCAGGAAGGUGAAGAGGGAAGCAAGUCCUUCCUUGAGUCAGGGAGGGGCCAGAAGACCUAAUUAGGCCUGGCUUUGUGGGUUUUUUGGGGUGUGUGUGUGUGUUUUCCUCUAUCUUUCUCUGUGUGACUCCUUUUAAGGGAAAGGACACCUGCGCUUUGUAUUGGGGGUAGGAAGAUUGGUUUCCAUGAUGAUGAGGAGGAGACAAACACUUGCUGCCUAGGCUACAGGUCCCCUAGAGCCAUUUGGCCCUCUUUCUCCUCCCCUUUCCAGUCCAGGGCCUGGGAAGCUUGGCUGUGUCUGUCUAGUGUCAAUUUUGAUUCCUCUCUGCUGCCAUUCUCCCCCUAGACUGGCACCUCUGCUGGGAGGGGCCGGGUAACCGGCUUCGCCUCUGCAAGACUAGAGAGAAGGCAUCCGCCUCAGCACAGGAGACGCGGCCGCCGCAGAAAUAAGGGUCUCUGCCCCAACGGAACAAGCGCAGCCCACAGUCCGGAAAAGGGUGUGGCCGGCCGAGGAGUGCGGGGGAGUGUGCGCCGCGGGCACUGCAGCAGCCGCACCACCUCCUCCCGUAGCCCUCCCUCCGUCCAGCAGCCGCCUCUGCCGCGCUGCAGUCUGGCGGCUGGAGGCUUGAAGUGAGCUGCUCCUCGUCGUCCAGUAGCUGCCUCGCUGCUCGAAGGCUCCGUUCUUUCUCGUCGCGGACCCGGCGCCAGCCCAGGUAGAGGGCGAGGCCGAAGAGCACGAAACCCACGCUGAGUCCCACUGCCCCGGCCAAAUACACAGGGUAUUUUUUUCUUCUAAAACCAGUGCUGGAACCUGUGCUGUGCAGAAGAGAGGACAAGACGAGGGAUGUUCCCAAAUUCCCAUAAGAGGACACAGCCCCUCAGUCAGUCCUUCCUCUCUGCUGGCUUCAGUCUGCACUCCUCUGCAAGCCCCCACUGUGAGGCUUGAAGAUGGACAAGAGGACCCUCAUAAAAGGGAGGUGACGGAACUUGCACUUGGCUCCUCUCUGACAGUCACCCUUGAGAAAGUCACGGCAGAUAGGGACCUCCUCCUUGCCAUUUGGUAGGUCAGCCGGUGAAAGGCCAAGGCCAGCUGCUACUUUCUGCCUCAGCCGUGGGGGAAGCUCUCCUGUCUUCUUAUAGCCAUCCUCAUCCUCCUUGGAGCCAUGGAUGAAACGGCAAUUUGGGCGGCUACACUCCUUGUUCUGGAAGUCAUGGCAGAAGAUGAACUCGUUUUUGCUCACCCCCAAGUUGGACACCUCGCUCAUGUCUGGGUGGCGAUAUCGGCAACGCUUGCCUCGCUUGCACACAUUCCUCAAGAAGUCUC